CUAAAGCCAGUAGAAGAAGCAACUAUUCGUGGUGAUCGUCAAGGUGUUAGAUUCUUUUUUCUGUGACAUCUCCUAGUCCAUCAUAUGCCUACUGGAUCAUUGAUGGAGUAAUAAAGCAUGUAAAGUCUGAAAAGUUCACAGAGAAGAUGAUGAUCUGUAAGUGCAUCACCAGCAGCAGCGCAACAUCACCCGCUCCUUCUAGAGCUAAGCCAAAAGUCAGCAGUAAUUACCGCUUCAGUCCAUCACCGUUCCACUACCACCAGCUGAAGGUAAUCAGUAGCAGAAAUUCCCUUGAUAUGCCGCCAAUUGAUGAAGCAUCGGUUAUCAAAGACAUGAAGGGAGCAGCUAUGGCAUAUGUGAUAGAUCUCUUAUCAGUCCUUGCAACCUUCGUACAAGCUGUUACUGAUAUCUUUGAUGGUGAUAAACCAACCGCAGAAGAUUUUGAGGCAGAAAUAUGUAUGCAAGAGAAGGAAAAGGCAGUUAUGUGAGUUUUGCACAUGUUAGUUUUAUCUUAUAUGCUCUUAAGUUCUAAACAGCUUUAAGCCACAGAUAACUUAGAAAUUCUCUUAAGUUUCUAACCAGACAUUGUAUU